rnacentral:rRNA from 1 species
GUUCUUUGGUGUUUCUAGCGGCGGACGGGUGAGUAACGCGUGAGCAUCUGUCUCAGACAGGGGGAUAACGCAGCGAAAGUUGCACUAAUACCGCAUAAGGCCACAUGGCCAAAGGAGCAAUCCGGUCUGAGGUGAGCUCGCGUCCCAUUAGGUAGUUGGUGAGGUAACGGCCCACCAAGCCUGCGAUGGGUAGCCGACCUGAGAGGGUGAUCGGCCACACUGGAACUGAGACACGGUCCAGACUCCUACGGGAGGCAGCAGUGGGGAAUAUUGGGCAAUGGGGGAAACCCUGACCCAGCAACGCCGCGUGAGGGAAGAAGGUUUUCGGAUUGUAAACCUCUGUCCUAAGAGAAGAGGGAGACGGUAUCUUAGGAGGAAGCCCCGGCUAACUACGUGCCAGCAGCCGCGGUAAUACGUAGGGGGCGAGCGUUGUCCGGAAUGAUUGGGCGUAAAGGGCGUGUAGGCGGCUUUAUAAGUCUGGAGUGAAAGUCCUGUUUUCAAGAUGGGAAUUGCUUUGGAUACUGUAGGGCUUGAGUGCAGGAGAGGUUAUCGGAAUUCCCGGUGUAGCGGUGAAAUGCGUAGAGAUCGGGAGGAACACCAGUGGCGAAGGCGGGUAACUGGACUGCAACUGACGCUGAGGCGCGAAAGUGUGGGGAG